ensembl:snRNA LOC120095792 U2 spliceosomal RNA
AUCGCUUCUCGGCCUUUUGGCUAAGAUCAAGUGUAGUAAUAAUAAAAUCAAUCACCUAAUUUUCCCUAUCAUUUUUAUAAUGAUGCAUUUGAAAUUACUGUUUUAAGGGUCAAGGUGUAUAACACAUUAUUGUUGACUAUACUCAAUUUGGAGGCUAU